rnacentral:rRNA from 1 species
GACGUAGGGUCCGAGCGUUGUCCGGAGUUACUGGGCGUAAAGGGCGCGUAGGCGGCUUUGUGCGUCACCCCGUGAAAGCCCCCCGGCUCAACCGGGGGAGGGUCGGGUGAAACGGCGGAGCUGGAGGCAGCGAGAGGCUGGUGGAAUUCCCGGAGUAGUGGUGAAAUUCGUAGAUAUUGGGAAGAACACCGGUGGCGAAGGCGGCUCUCUGGACCGAUACUGACGCUGAGGCGCGAAAGCGUGGGGGAGCAAACAGG